GGCGAGUUUGAUCAUGGCUCAGGACGAACGCUGGCGGCGUGCUUAACACAUGCAAGUCGAACGGUGAUCCCCUUCGGGGGUGAUCAGUGGCGAACGGGUGAGUAACACGUGAGCAACCUGCCCCUGACUCUGGGAUAACCCCGGGAAACCGGAGCUAAUACCGGAUAUGACGCGCUCGGGCAUCCGAUGCGUGUGGAAAGAUUUAUCGGUCAGGGAUGGGCUCGCGGCCUAUCAGCUUGUUGGUGGGGUAAUGGCCUACCAAGGCGACGACGGGUAGCCGGCCUGAGAGGGCGACCGGCCACACUGGGACUGAGACACGGCCCAGACUCCUACGGGAGGCAGCAGUGGGGAAUAUUGCGCAAUGGGCGAAAGCCUGACGCAGCGACGCCGCGUGAGGGAUGAAGGCCUUCGGGUUGUAAACCUCUUUCAGCAGGGAAGAAGCGAAAGUGACGGUACCUGCAGAAGAAGCACCGGCUAACUACGUGCCAGCAGCCGCGGUAAUAA
rnacentral:rRNA from 1 species